GGUUUAUACCUGUCUCCUUUUUUUAAUCAAUGAAACUGAUCUCCCCGUGAAGAAGCGGGGAUAUUUAUAUAAGACGAGAAGACCCUAUGGAGCUUUAAACAAUUAUAGCACUGGCCCACACUUCUUAUUCUCCUGAGACAUAAUUAUUAUAUAGACCAACAUGACUAUUAGUUUUAGGUUGGGGUGACCACGGAGCAAAAAAAUAACCUCCAUGUUGAACGGAGCUACUCCUGAGCUAAAAACUACAACUUUAAGCACCAAUAAACUGACAUCAAUUGACCCAACAUGUUGACCAACGAACCAAGUUACCCUAGGGAUAACAGCGCAAUCCAUUUCAAGAGCUCCUAUCGACAAAUGGGUUUACGACCUCGAUGUUGGAUCAG
rnacentral:rRNA from 1 species